rnacentral:rRNA from 1 species
GACGAACGCUGGCGGCGUGCUUAACACAUGCAAGUCGAACGGAAAGGCCCUGCUUUUGUGGGGUGCUCGAGUGGCGAACGGGUGAGUAACACGUGAGUAACCUGCCCUUGACUUUGGGAUAACUUCAGGAAACUGGGGCUAAUACCGGAUAGGAGCUCCUGCUGCAUGGUGGGGGUUGGAAAGUUUCGGCGGUUGGGGAUGGACUCGCGGCUUAUCAGCUUGUUGGUGGGGUAGUGGCUUACCAAGGCUUUGACGGGUAGCCGGCCUGAGAUGGUGACCGGCCACAUUGGGACUGCGAUACGGCCCAGACUCCUACGGGAGGCAGCAGUGGGGAAUAUUGCACAAUGGGCGGAAGCCUGAUGCAGCAACGCCGCGUGCGGGAUGACGGCCUUCGGGUUGUAAACCGCUUUCGCCUGUGUCGAAGCGUGAGUGACGGUAAUGGGUAAAGAAGCACCGGCUAACUACGUG